UUCCUACGGGGCGCAGCAGUGGGGAAUAUUGGGCAAUGGGCGCAAGCCUGACCCAGCAACGCCGCGUGAAGGAAGAAGGCCCUCGGGUUGUAAACUUCUUUUAUUCGGGACGAAACAAAUGACGGUACCGAAUGAAUAAGCCACGGCUAACUACGUGCCAGCAGCCGCGGUAAUACGUAGGUGGCAAGCGUUAUCCGGAUUUACUGGGUGUAAAGGGCGUGUAGGCGGGAGAGCAAGUCAGACGUGAAAUUCCAGGGCUCAACCCUGGAACUGCGUUUGAAACUGGCUUUCUUGAGUGAAGUAGG
rnacentral:rRNA from 1 species